rnacentral:lncRNA from 1 species
CAGAUUAGGGAGAGACAAAAAGGAAUUCCAAGCUCCUUCUAAAAUCACUCUUUAUGGCAGAGUCUUAGAAGUGCUGAGAUGGGUGGUGAACAUGGAAACAUACAACCAGUUCGCGUGACCCCAGGAAAAGAAGGCCGUGCCCACGCUUGCUUGUGAGCAGAGCAAGUUUUGCAGACUGAAGUCAUUCUAGAUGUCUGUCUCUGUAUGCAGUGUGUACCCUUGAAAGCGUGGUAUACCAGUUACGUGGUGUCUUUCAUAAUUAACUCUUCUCUCUCUAACUUUGUGGUAAGAAUGCUUGUCUGGUAUUUCAGUAUUUAUUGAAUGCACAGAUCCUGUAUGACAUAAAAUAGUUCCAUGAAAAUAAGGCCUAGGGGAAUUUUAAAAACGAAAUGGACUCUGGGGGGUUACAAGUGUGAAGAAUGGUGUUCAAAUUACCUCCCUGUGCGAUGAAAUUUACA